UCCGUAAGUAGCGGCGAGCGAACGCGGAUUAGCCCAAACCAAUAAAGUUUUCUUUAUUGGGGUUGCGGACAUAUCAUAACGAAGAGGUAUCGUAAUUGAAGAGGUUUGGAAAGACCCACCACAGAAGGUAAUAGUCCUGUAUGUUAAACGAGAAGACUUUAGAUAUGAUCCAGAGUACCACGGGACACGUGAAACCCUGUGGGAAGCAGGAGGGACCACCCUCCAAGGCUAAAUACUACCUAGUGACCGAUAGCGUAUAGUACCGUGAGGGAAAGGUGAAAAGAACCCCGGGAGGGGAGUGAAAUAGAACCUGAAACCCUGCACUUACAAGCUGUGGAAGCACAUUUCUUGUGUGACCGCGUACUUUUUGUAGAACGGGCCAACGAGUUACGUUAAGUAGCAAGGUUAAGCACUUAAGGUGCGGAGCCGUAGCGAAAGCGAGUUUUAACUGAGCGUUCAGUUACUUGACGUAGACCCGAAACCGGGCGACCUACCCAUGAGCAGGAUGAAGCGAAAGUAAAAUUUCGUGGAGGUCCGAACCCACGAGCGUUGAAAAGCUCGGGGAUGACUUGUGGGUAGCGGUGAAAUUCCAAUCGAGCCCGGAGAUAGCUGGUUCUCCCCGAAAUAGCUUUAGGGCUAGCCUCAAGGUGAGAGAUACGGAGGUAGAGCACUGAAUGUCCUAGGGGGUAUUGCACCUACCGAAGACUAUCAAACUCCGAAUGCCGUCAUCUUAUACUUGGGAGUCAGACUGUGGGUGAUAAGAUUCAUAGUCGAAAGGGCAACAGCCCAGAUCGUCAGCUAAGGUCCCUAAAUGUAAGUUAAGUGGUAAAGGAUGUGGGAUUGCACAGACAACCAGGAUGUUGGCUUAGAAGCAGCCACUCAUUCAAAGAGUGCGUAAUAGCUCACUGGUCGAGUGAUCCUGCGCCGAAGAUUUCCGGGGCUAAAACUUACUACCGAAGCUACGGCAUCAGUAAUGAUGGGUAGGGGAGCUUCCCAUACGGGUUGAAGCAUGACCGUAAGGACAUGUGGACAGUAUGGGAGUGAGAAUGUUGGCAUGAGUAGCGAGAUGUGGGUGAGAAUCCCACAGGCCGUAAACCCAAGGUUUCCAGGGGAAGGUUCGUCCGCCCUGGGUUAGUCGGGACCUAAGCUGAGGCCGAAAGGCGUAGGUGAUGGACAACAGGUUGAUAUUCCUGUACUACCGAUAACCGUUUGAGAGAAGGGAUGACACAGUAGGAUAAGCUAAGCACACUGUUGGUUAUGUGUGCCCAAGCAUUGAGGCAGUCAAAGUAGGCAAAUCCGCUUUGAUAAUGCUGGGAUGUGAUGGGGAGCGAAAUUUAGUAGCGAAGUAGCUGAUUUCACACUGUCAAGAAAAGUCUCUAUCGAGGUUAAAGGUACCCGUACCGCAAACCGACACAGGUGGGUGAGGAGAGUAUCCUAAGGCCAGCGAGAGAACUGUUGUUAAGGAACUCGGCAAAAUGACCCCGUAACUUAGGGAUAAGGGGUGCCACCAUCAGGUGGCCGCAGAGAAUAGGCCCAAGCGACUGUUUACCAAAAACAUAGGUUUCUGCUAAGUCGCAAGACGAUGUAUAGGAGCUGACGCCUGCCCGGUGCUGGAAGGUUAAGGGGAUCUGUUAGAGCAAUCGAAGCAGUGAACUUAAGCCCCAGUAAACGGCGGCCGUAACUAUAACGGUCCUAAGGUAGCGAAAUUCCUUGUCGGGUAAGUUCCGACCCGCACGAAAGGCGUAACGAUUUGGGCACUGUCUCAACAACAGACUCGGUGAAAUUGUAAUUCCGGUGAAGAUGCCGGAUACCUGCGACAGGACGGAAAGACCCCAUGGAGCUUUACUGUAGCUUGACAUUGGGUCUUGGUACUACAUGUACAGGAUAGGUGGGAGGCUUUGAAACCAGGACGCCAGUUUUGGCGGAGCCAUCCUUGGGAUACCACCCUUGUAGUACUGGGACUCUAACCAUAGGCCAUGAAUCUGGUCUUGGGACACUGUCAGGUGGGCAGUUUGACUGGGGCGGUCGCCUCCCAAAAGGUAACGGAGGCGCUCAAAGGUUCUCUCAGUACGGUCGGAAAUCGUACGUAGAGUGUAAAGGCAAAAGAGAGCUUGAUUGCAAGACAUACAGGUCGAGCAAGGAUGAAAAUCGGACUUAGUGAUCCGGUGGUUCUGCGUGGAAGGGCCAUCGCUCAACGGAUAAAAGCUACCCUGGGGAUAACAGGCUUAUCUCCCCCAAGAGUCCACAUCGACGGGGAGGUUUGGCACCUCGAUGUCGGCUCAUCACAUCCUGGGGCUGUAGUAGGUCCCAAGGGUUGGGCUGUUCGCCCAUUAAAGUGGUACGCGAGCUGGGUUCAGAACGUCGUGAGACAGUUCGGUCCCUAUCCGUCGCAGGCGUAGGAAAUUUGAGAAGACCUGUCCUUAGUACGAGAGGACCGGGAUGGACGUACCUCUGGUGUACCAGUUGUUCUGCCAAGGGCAUGGCUGGGUAGCUAUGUACGGAAUGGAUAAGCGCUGAAAGCAUCUAAGCGCGAAGCCAACUUCAAGAUAAGAUUUCCCACCGCAAGGGUAAGACCCCAGAAAGACUAUCUGGUUGAUAGGUCGAAGGUGUAAGUGCAGCAAUGUAUUUAGCUUAUCGAUACUAAUAGGUCGAGGACUUGACCAA
rnacentral:rRNA from 1 species